AAUCUAAUCUUUGAAUAGUGGCGAUGGAAAGCUGGAAAAGGAAUGAAAAAGGCGAAGGUAGAAUGAACAGUGAUAAUUAGUUGGAAAUACAACUGGGAGACAAAAUGGGAAUGCAAGUGCUUAUACAGGUGACCUGAACAGUUGAAAUACAAUGGAUGGAUAUAAGGUUUAAAUUCAAUCAUGUGUUAACAUCUUUGGUAAUGUGGCGUACCGUGUUACUAUUGGCCCACUUCCGUGAGUAGGAGCGGCUGGGUUAGUGGACUGGCUUUGGCUUCCCAAUUUCUACGCCGCUGUCAUACACAAAUAUCUCCAAACCCGCCAUUGGAACACCCUUGAAAGCUUAUUAUCAAAAUUAGAUUUUAAUUGUGCCUGGGUUUUAGGGCGUUGCUGCUAAUGAAACCACUAGCACAACCACGAAGAGAUCGAGAAGAAAGAACACUUUUGCUGAACUUAAGGAAGAGGAGAGUCUGCUUGUGAAGGAAAUGAGUUAUUUGAAAAAGGAGAUAGCAUCAAUGCGUGCUACUUGCAAAGAAUAGAGAGCCAGGAAUGAGAACUUGAAAAGAAUCAAGCCCGAUUUGAACUUGAGCACUGCAAAGAAUUAACCUGAGGAAGUACCUUCUUGUCAACCCCAUCCAAGUGUACCCUCGUCUAUUGAAUAUGUUAUGUCAACUUUACCCUCACAUGCCAUUGAUGAUUGCAAAGCCGUGUUAGAUUCUUGCAUUAUCGGAAAGGCCUUACUGUCUGAUCUGAAUAUGAUGCUUGUUGAAGAUGAAUCUGGCGCUGAGACUCCAUUUCGGUAAAUUGGAUGAUAAAUAUUUACAAAGUUAGUUGUGUAGUUAAUUAAGUUUUAAUUAGGUGAAUUUGUCUAAAUUGA